rnacentral:rRNA from 1 species
GUCUACAGCCAUGCCACCCUGAACAAGCCCGAUCCUGUCUAAUCUUGGAAGCUAAGCAAAGUCGGGCCUGGUUAGUACUUGGAGGGGAGAACACUUAGGAAGACCAGGUGCUGUAGGUA